GGGCGAGUGGCGGAGUUGGUAUACGCGGAAGACUUAAAAUCUUCUGGCCGAAAGGCCUCGAGGGUUCGAGUCCCUCCUCGCCCA
rnacentral:tRNA from 1 species